rnacentral:rRNA from 1 species
GAAUCCCGUCUUUGACACGGACUGCCUGCAUGUUAUGGUGCGCUCUCAAAGAGUCGAGUUGUUUGGGAAUGCAGCUCAAAAUGGGUGGUAAAUGCCAUCUAAAGCUAAAUAUUGGCGAGAGACCGAUAGCGAACAAGUACCGUGAGGGAAAGAUGAAAAGAACUUUGGAAAGAGAGUUAAACAGUACGUGAAAUUGCUGAAAGGGAAACGCUUGAAGUCAGUCGCGUCGGCUAGAAAUCAACCUUGCUUUUGCUUGGUGUACUUUCUUGUUGAUGGGUCAGCAUCAAUUUUGACCGUUGGAUAAAGUCGUUGGGAAUGUGGCAUCUUAGGAUGUGUUAUAGCCCAUCGUCGCAUACAGCGGUUGGGAUUGAGGAACUCAGCACGCCCUUCUGGGGACGGGUUUCGACCACGUUUCGUGCUUAGGAUGCUGGCAUAAUGGCUUUAAUCGACCCGUCUUGAAACACGGACCAAGGAGUCUAACAUGCCUGCGAGUGUUCGGGUGGAAAACCCGUGCGCGCAAUGAAAGUGAAAGUUGGGACCUCUGUCGUGGAGGGCACCGACGCCCGGACCAGACCUUCUGUGACGGUUCUGCGGUAGAGCAUGUAUGUUAGGACCCGAAAGAUGGUGAACUAUGCCUGAAUAGGGUGAAGCCGGAGGAAACUCUGGUGGAGGCUCGUAGCGAUUCUGACGUGCAAAUCGAUCGUCAAAUUUGGGUAUAGGGGCGAAAGACUAAUCGAACCAUCUAGUAGCUGGUUCCUGCC